rnacentral:lncRNA from 10 species
GGAGCAGGCGCCACCUUGAGGCAUAAACCCAGAGAAACAAGACCUCCAAGACGGCCAGGCACUGGGGCACACGCCGGUAACACAGCACCGUGGGAGCUGAGACGGAAGGAUCGCCUGAGCCCAGGAUUUUGAAACCACCCUGGGCAACACAGUGAGACCCCGUAUCUACAAAAAAAUACACAUUAGCCAGGCAUGGCGGCAUGCGCCUGGGGUCCCAAGUACUCGGGAGGUAGAGGAGAGAAAAAUCACUUGAGCCCAGAGAGGUCAAGGCUACAGGGAGCUGAGAUCGCAUCACUGUACUCCAGCUGGGGUGAAACGGCGAGACUCUACCUCAAAAAUAAAUAAAUACAUACAUAAUUAAUAAAUAAAACAUCAAAGACCAGCCGACCUAACUCCAUCUAAAAUACACAACUUCUACGCAAAAUAUAAAUAAAAUUAGAAAACAAACUACAAUCUCAGAAAAGCACUAGCAACUUAGACGACAUACUAAAGGCCAAAAAUACCCUCCUGACACACAGCUAAUAAAGAAAAAGUCAACUAUUCCAGUUAAAAAGAAGAAAAGGAAACUGGCUGUGGUGGCUUAUGCCUGUAAUCCCAGUGCUUUGGGAAGGCCAGGAGUUUGAGACCAGGAUGGACAGCAUAGCAAGACCCCAUCUCUACAAGGAAAAAAAGAAUCAGCCAGGCAUGGUGGUGUGGAGCUGUAGUUCCAACUACUCGGGGGGCUGAGGAGGAAGGAUCGCUUGAGCCAGGGAGGUCGAGGCUGCAGUGAGCUAUGAUUGUGCCACUGCAGUCCAGCCUGGGCGACAGAGCAAGACCCGGUCUCGAAAGAAAAGAAAGAGAAAGCAAGAAAAGAAAGAUGGCUGGGCACGGUGGCUCACUCCUGUAAUCCCAGCACUUUGGGAGGCCAAGGUGGGUGGAUCAUGAGAUCAAGAGAUCAAGACCAUCCUGGCCAACAGGGUGAAACCCCGUCUCUACUAAAAAUGCAAAAAUUAGCUGGGCGUGGUGGCGGGCACCAGUCCAGGCUACUCGGGAGGCUGAGGCAGGAGAAUGGUGUGAACCCAGGAGGCGGAGCUUGCAGUGAGCCGAGAUGGCACUGCUGCACUCCAGCCUGGGCAACAGAGUGAGACUCCAUCUCAAAUAAUAAUAAAAAAUAAAUAAAUAAAUAAAUAAAAGACAUCACUCACACCUGUAAUCCCAGCACUUCGGGAGGCCGAGGCAAGCAGAUCACCUAAGGCCAAGAGUUCAAGACCAGCCUGACCAACAUGGUGAAACCCCAUCUCUACUAAAAAUAUUUUUAAAAAUUAGCUGGGCGUGGUGGCGCGCGCCUGUAAUCCCAGCUACUCAGGAGGCUGAGGCAGGAGAAUCGCUUGAACCCGGGAGGUGGAGGCUGCAGUGAGCCGAGAUCACACCAUUGUCCUCCAGCCUGGGUGACAGAGCCAGACUCCGUCUCAAACAAAACAAAACAAAAGACAUCAGCUAGCUGGUCCAAGCACAGUGGUGUUCACAACGAAUUGAUCACAGCCAGGUAGAAUUCUUCAUUCUUUCUCCAGUUCCACUGCUUUGCUUGACCAGCCUUAAAGACACACAUAUACAUUUUUGUCUGGGCGCGCUGGCUCACACCUGUAAUCCCAACACUUUGGGAGGCCAAGGCAGGCGGAUCACUUGAGGUCAGGAGUUUGAGACCAGCCUGACCAACGUGGAGAAACCCCGUCUCUCCUAAAAAUACAAAAUUAGCCAGGCAUGGUGGCACACGCCUGUAAUCCCAGCUACUGGAGAGGCUGAGGCAGGAGAAUCGCUUGAACCCGGGAGGCGGAGGUUGCCGUGAGCUGAGAUCGCGCCACUGCACUCCAGCCUGGGCAACAAGAGCGAAACUCUGUCUCAAAAAAAAAAAAAAAAAAGUAUAUAUUUUUAAAAGACAUUGGCCGGGUGCGGUGGCUCACGCCUGUAAUCCCAGCACUUUGGGAGGCCGAGGUGGGCAGAUCACGAGGUCAGGAGAUCGAGACCAUCCUGGCCAACACGGUAAAACCCCGUCUCUACUAAAAAUACAAAAAUUAGCUGGGCACGGUGGUGCAUGCCUGUAAACCCAGCUACCAGGUACUCGGGAGGCUGAGG